rnacentral:misc_RNA from 1 species
GAUGAAGAACGUAGUGAAAUGCGAUAAGUAGUGUGAAUUGCAGAAUUCAGUGAAUCAUCAAAUCUUUGAACGCACAUUGCGCCCCUUGGUAUCCCGAGGGGCAUGCCUGUUCGAGCGUCAUUUCACCACUCAAGCCUGGCUUGGUGUUGGGCGACGUCCUCUUUGGGGACGCGCCUCGAAACGCUCGGCGGCGUGGCACCGGCUUUAAGCGUAGCAGAAUCUUUCGCUUUGGAAGUCGGGGCCCCGUCUGCCGGAAGACCUGCUCGCAAGGUUGACCUCGGAUCAGGCAGGGAUACCCGCUGAACUUAAGCAUAUCAAUAAGCGGAGGA